GGCGGCGUGCUUACACAUGCAAGUCGAACGAUGAACCACUUCGGUGGGGAUUAGUGGCGAACGGGUGAGUAACACGUGGGCAAUCUGCCCUUCACUCUGGGACAAGCCCUGGAAACGGGGUCUAAUACCGGAUACGACACUCUCGGGCAUCCGAUGAGUGUGGAAAGCUCCGGCGGUGAAGGAUGAGCCCGCGGCCUAUCAGCUUGUUGGUGAGGUAACGGCUCACCAAGGCGACGACGGGUAGCCGGCCUGAGAGGGCGACCGGCCACACUGGGACUGAGACACGGCCCAGACUCCUACGGGAGGCAGCAGUGGGGAAUAUUGCACAAUGGGCGAAAGCCUGAUGCAGCGACGCCGCGUGAGGGAUGACGGCCUUCGGGUUGUAAACCUCUUUCAGCAGGGAAGAAGCGAAAGUGACGGUACCUGCAGAAGAAGCGCCGGGCUAACUACGUGCCAGCAGCCGCGGUAAUACGUAGGGCGCGAGCGUUGUCCGGAAUUAUUGGGCGUAAAGAGCUCGUAGGCGGUCUGUCGCGUCGGAUGUGAAAGCCCGGGGCUUAACCCCGGGUCUGCAUUCGAUACGGGCAGACUAGAGUGUGGUAGGGGAGAUCGGAAUUCCUGGUGUAGCGGUGAAAUGCGCAGAUAUCAGGAGGAACACCGGUGGCGAAGGCGGAUCUCUGGGCCAUUACUGACGCUGAGGAGCGAAAGCGUGGGGAGCGAACAGGAUUAGAUACCCUGGUAGUCCACGCCGUAAACGGUGGGAACUAGGUGUUGGCGACAUUCCACGUCGUCGGUGCCGCAGCUAACGCAUUAAGUUCCCCGCCUGGGGAGUACGGCCGCAAGGCUAAAACUCAAAGGAAUUGACGGGGGCCCGCUCAAGCAGCGGAGCAUGUGGCUUAAUUCGACGCAACGCGAAGAACCUUACCAAGGCUUGACAUACACCGGAAACGGCCAGAGAUGGUCGCCCCCUUGUGGUCGGUGUACAGGUGGUGCAUGGCUGUCGUCAGCUCGUGUCGUGAGAUGUUGGGUUAAGUCCCGCAACGAGCGCAACCCUUGUUCUGUGUUGCCAGCAUGCCCUUCGGGGUGAUGGGGACUCACAGGAGACUGCCGGGGUCAACUCGGAGGAAGGUGGGGACGACGUCAAGUCAUCAUGCCCCUUAUGUCUUGGGCUGCACACGUGCUACAAUGGCAGGUACAAUGAGCUGCGAAGCCGUGAGGCGGAGCGAAUCUCAAAAAGCCUGUCUCAGUUCGGAUUGGGGUCUGCAACUCGACCCCAUGAAGUCGGAGUUGCUAGUAAUCGCAGAUCAGCAUUGCUGCGGUGAAUACGUUCCCGGGCCUUGUACACACCGCCCGUCACGUCACGAAAGUCGGUAACACCCGAAGCCGGUGGCCCAACCCGUAAGGGAGGGAGCUGUCGAAGGUGGGACUGGCGAUUGGGACGAAGUCGUAAC
rnacentral:rRNA from 1 species